GACGAACGCUGGCGGCGUGCCUAAUACAUGCAAGUCGAACGAACUCUGGUAUUGAUUGGUGCUUGCAUCAUGAUUUACAUUUGAGUGAGUGGCGAACUGGUGAGUAACACGUGGGAAACCUGCCCAGAAGCGGGGGAUAACACCUGGAAACAGAUGCUAAUACCGCAUAACAACUUGGACCGCAUGGUCCGAGUUUGAAAGAUGGCUUCGGCUAUCACUUUUGGAUGGUCCCGCGGCGUAUUAGCUAGAUGGUGGGGUAACGGCUCACCAUGGCAAUGAUACGUAGCCGACCUGAGAGGGUAAUCGGCCACAUUGGGACUGAGACACGGCCCAAACUCCUACGGGAGGCAGCAGUAGGGAAUCUUCCACAAUGGACGAAAGUCUGAUGGAGCAACGCCGCGUGAGUGAAGAAGGGUUUCGGCUCGUAAAACUCUGUUGUUAAAGAAGAACAUAUCUGAGAGUAACUGUUCAGGUAUUGACGGUAUUUAACCAGAAAGCCACGGCUAACUACGUGCCAGCAGCCGCGGUAAUACGUAGGUGGCAAGCGUUGUCCGGAUUUAUUGGGCGUAAAGCGAGCGCAGGCGGUUUUUUAAGUCUGAUGUGAAAGCCUUCGGCUCAACCGAAGAAGUGCAUCGGAAACUGGGAAACUUGAGUGCAGAAGAGGACAGUGGAACUCCAUGUGUAGCGGUGAAAUGCGUAGAUAUAUGGAAGAACACCAGUGGCGAAGGCGGCUGUCUGGUCUGUAACUGACGCUGAGGCUCGAAAGUAUGGGUAGCAAACAGGAUUAGAUACCCUGGUAGUCCAUACCGUAAACGAUGAAUGCUAAGUGUUGGAGGGUUUCCGCCCUUCAGUGCUGCAGCUAACGCAUUAAGCAUUUCGCCUGGGGAGUACGGCCGCAAGGCUGAAACUCAAAGGAAUUGACGGGGGCCCGCACAAGCGGUGGAGCAUGUGGUUUAAUUCGAAGCUACGCGAAGAACCUUACCAGGUCUUGACAUACUAUGCAAAUCUAAGAGAUUAGACGUUCCCUUCGGGGACAUGGAUACAGGUGGUGCAUGGUUGUCGUCAGCUCGUGUCGUGAGAUGUUGGGUUAAGUCCCGCAACGAGCGCAACCCUUAUUAUCAGUUGCCAGCAUUAAGUUGGGCACUCUGGUGAGACUGCCGGUGACAAACCGGAGGAAGGUGGGGAUGACGUCAAAUCAUCAUGCCCCUUAUGACCUGGGCUACACACGUGCUACAAUGGAUGGUACAACGAGUUGCGAACUCGCGAGAGUAAGCUAAUCUCUUAAAGCCAUUCUCAGUUCGGAUUGUAGGCUGCAACUCGCCUACAUGAAGUCGGAAUCGCUAGUAAUCGCGGAUCAGCAUGCCGCGGUGAAUACGUUCCCGGGCCUUGUACACACCGCCCGUCACACCAUGAGAGUUUGUAACACCCAAAGUCGGUGGGGUAACCUUUUAGGAACCAGCCGCCUAAGGUGGGACAGAUGGUUAGGGUG
rnacentral:rRNA from 2 species